rnacentral:rRNA from 1 species
AACCGCAUGGUUCAAAAGUGAAAGACGGUCUUGCUGUCACUUAUAGAUGGAUCCGCGCUGCAUUAGCUAGUUGGUAAGGUAACGGCUUACCAAGGCAACGAUGCAUAGCCGACCUGAGAGGGGGAUCGGCCACACUGGAACUGAGACACGGUCCAGACUCCUACGGGAGGCAGCAGUAGGGAAUCUUCCGCAAUGGGCGAAAGCCUGACGGAGCAACGCCGCGUGAGUGAUGAAGGUCUUCGGAUCGUAAAACUCUGUUAUUAGGGAAGAACAUAUGUGUAAGUAACUGUGCACAUCUUGACGGUACCUAAUCAGAAAGCCACGGCUAACUACGUGCCAGCAGCCGCGGUAAUACGUAGGUGGCAAGCGUUAUCCGGAAUUAUUGGGCGUAAAGCGCGCGUAGGCGGUUUUUUAAGUCUGAUGUGAAAGCCCACGGCUCAACCGUGGAGGGUCAUUGGAAACUGGAAAACUUGAGUGCAGAAGAGGAAAGUGGAAUUCCAUGUGUAGCGGUGAAAUGCGCAGAGAUAUGGAGGAAC